UUCCAAGCUGGGUGGCCUCUGGACUCUGA
rnacentral:piRNA from 1 species